AACGAACGCUGGCGGCAUGCCUAACACAUGCAAGUCGAACGAGACCUUCGGGUCUAGUGGCGCACGGGUGCGUCACGCAUGGGAACAUGCCCUUAGGUUCGGAAUAAUUCCCCGAAGGGGGUGCUAAUACCGGAUAAUUUCUUCGGACCAAAGAUUUAUCGCCUUUGGAUGGGCCCGCGUUGGAUUGACUAGUUGGUAGGGUAAAAGCCUACCACGAAUGCGAUCCAUAGCUGGUCUGAGAGGAUGCACGGCCACACUGGGACUGUGACACGGCCCAGACUCUUACGGGAAGGAGCUGUGUGAAAUAUUGGACGAUGGGCGAAAGACUGAUACAGCUGUGGCGCGUGAGUAAUUUAGGCCUUAGGAUUGUAAAGCUCUUUUAUCCGGGAGGGUACUGGCAGUACCGGGAGAAUAAGGCCCGGCUAACUCCGUG
rnacentral:rRNA from 1 species